AUUGAACGCUGGCGGCAGGCCUAACACAUGCAAGUCGAACGGUAACAGGAAGCAGCUUGCUGCUUCGCUGACGAGUGGCGGACGGGUGAGUAAUGUCUGGGAAACUGCCUGAUGGAGGGGGAUAACUACUGGAAACGGUAGCUAAUACCGCAUACCGUCGCAAGACCAAAGAGGGGGACCUUAGGGCCUCUUGCCAUCGGAUGUGCCCAGAUGGGAUUAGCUAGUAGGUGGGGUAACGGCUCACCUAGGCGACGCUCCCUAGCUGGUCUGAGAGGAUGACCAGCCACACUGGAACUGAGACACGGUCCAGACUCCUACGGGAGGCAGCAGUGGGGAAUAUUGCACAAUGGGCGCAAGCCUGAUGCAGCCAUGCCGCGUGUAUGAAGAAGGCCUUCGGGUUGUAAAGUACUUUCAGCGGGGAGGAAGGGAGUAAAGUUAAUACCUUUGCUCAUUGACGUUACCCGCAGAAGAAGCACCGGCUAACUCCGUG
rnacentral:rRNA from 1 species